rnacentral:lncRNA from 1 species
GUACUGUUUAUUUCUUCUUUGUAAAGUAAAGAGAAAUCAUGUUAACCAGGUCAAUGUGAUCCUGCAAUUUUUUUUUUUUUAGUUAACUUGGAUGAUUUUUAUCUUGCUUUAAUAGAAGAAACCCGGCCACUUCAGAGUCUGCAAAUGGAGCUCCUUGUCACUGAGCUCCAGAGAUGUAAACAGAAGUAGCAAACAGGUUCCUCUUUUAGUGUAAACAAAUAAGUGAUUUUUUAAAAAAAACUUCUGAAGGGAUUACUUGUCCAUAAUGUGAAUUUUACAUUUUUAUUCACAUAUUCAUCCAUAAGAAACACUAGGUGAAUGCAAAAAAACUGGGCCAAAUAGGCCUGGCGCAUACACACACCUCAAACAUCUCUAGCUUCCUCAGCAGAUGGUGUCUGAUUAUGAGCCACCAUGAACUGAUUUUACUCCACGUUUAUAAUACUUCUGAUGGCCACUCCCACAAGAAAACUUCAGGGUUUCUUUCAAGGAAACAGCAGUAGCAACCAGAAGACAGGAGGCACAAGAAGUUAGCAAAGAAAGCCACCUACUUCUUCCGCCUUAAUUUCUCUAAGCACUUAUCAAGGGAUGCACGUGACAUUUGGUACCGAAGACCUGGGGCAGGGGGACUCCUUCGGGAGCCCAGUCCCCUGUCCUUGCCCUCAGUCUGUGAGGAGAUCCACGUAUGACCUCAGGUCCUCAGACCAGCCCAAGGAACAUCUCACCAAUUUCAAAUCAGGUAACCAGUCUCUUCACUGUCUUCUCCAGUCUCUCUCACUACCCUUCAAUCUCCCUGUCUUUUCAAUUCCAGUUCUUUUUCCUUUCUAGUAGAGACAAAGGAGACACAUUUUAUCCAUGAACUCGAAAACUCUGACCUCAGUCACGGAUUUUGGAAGACAGUCUUCCCUUGGUGUCUGAUCAUAGCGGGGACGCCUGCCCUGAUCAUUUGCCCACAUUCUGUUGGUGUCUGAUCACCGCAGGGACACAUGCCUUGAUCAUUCACCCACAUUCCUUUGGUGGCAAUCCAGUUAUGGGGACACCUGCUUUGGCUGCUCACCCACAUUACAGCCCACAUUACAGCGCUGCUCACCGCCCCCCUGCCCCUUCUCCGUGUCUCUACCUUUCCCUUUAAACUUACUUCCUUCACUAUGGGCAACCUUCCAUCCUCCAUUCCCCCUUCUUCUCCUUUAGCCUGUGUUCUUAAAAACCUAAAACCCCUUCGACUAACACCUGACCUAAAACCUAAACGUCUUAUUUUCCUCUGUAAGACCACUUGGCCCCAAUACAAACUUGACAAUAGUUCUAAGUGACCAGAGAAUAGCACUUUCGAUUUCUCCAUCCUACAAGAUCUGGAUAAUUUUUGUCAUAAAAUGGGCAAAUGGUCUGAGGUGCCU